rnacentral:rRNA from 1 species
GAUGAACGCUGGCGGCGUGCCUAAUACAUGCCAGUCGAGCGAACGGACGAGAAGCUUGCUUCUCUGAUGUUAGCGGCGGACGGGUGAGUAACACGUGGAUAACCUACCUAUAAGGCUGGGAUAACUUCGGGAAACCGGAGCUAAUACCGGAUAAUAUUUUGAACCGCAUGGUUCAAAAGUGAAAGACGGUCUUGCUGUCACUUAUAGAUGGAUCCGCGCUGCAUUAGCUAGUUGGUAAGGUAACGGCUUACCAAGGCAACGAUGCAUAGCCGACCUGAGAGGGUGAUCGGCCACACUGGAACUGAGACACGGUCCAGACUCCUACGGGAGGCAGCAGUAGGGAAUCUUCCGCAAUGGGCGAAAGCCUGACGGAGCAACGCCGCGUGAGUGAUGAAGGUCUUCGGAUCGUAAAACUCUGUUAUUAGGGAAGAACAUAUGUGUAAGUAACUGUGCACAUCUUGACGGUACCUAAUCAGAAAGCCACGGCUAACUACGUG